ACAAUGGUCUUGUAAGCCAUAAAUGAAAUCUAUUUUCUAAGGGUAU
rnacentral:tRNA from 1 species